UAGACCGCAAAUUGCAAACCAUGACAGCGACUGGAUGAAGCUUAAGGUUACAGGCAUUACAGGACGUUACUUUAGUUUAUAAAAUCGCGUUUUGCGAAGCAUGCUGCAACAAUCAGCACUGCGACGCCGUUUGUCCAAAUCUAACAAGAGAUGUGUGCCGCGUCCCAGGAGGUCAGCUUGUUGACCUGUACGUAAAGAAACAACAUGAAAAAAACAGUCAAUCUUCAAAUCCCUUGAAGUGUCGCCCGUUUAAAAUCGUUACCACUAGCUUUUGUGGAGUUUGUUGCCAUCGCUGUCCGCGCGAAAAAGAGGCAUCCGUGCAUUCCUAAUUGACGAACAAGUUUCGGCAAGUUUAUGAAACACAGCAACCCAACAAAAUUAUUAAUCAGGCUUCUGCUACCAAAAGCAAGUAAACUGUUGGAUCGAAAAGCUUGUACAAAAUUGAAGUGUCACCGUGUAAAUAUUAAUUUAUAGGAAUUUUCAAACAGCUAAGAGCUGUUGCUGGAAAGCUCAUUUGAAUGGCUGCCAAAGCAAUAAAUGAAACAUCAGUUGAAACUGAGCUUCCUAAAUAAAUAUAGCGAGUUUAUCAGUUACUUUAAAUUUUUGCUUGUUUCCCACGCUGUUUUCUUAAAAAGCCGACGGGAAAUGCUGGGCAUGGAAAGGUUUUUUCCUUAGGUUGACGGACAUCAAU